rnacentral:lncRNA from 1 species
CUGGGAAGGCGAGCCGGCCCCCGGGACUUCAGAGCCGGAGCCAGGCACUUAGCUUCCUUCUGGGGACCCUGAGGCACGGGAAGAGAAGGGACCUCCUGCUCGCAGUGUCCCCCUUGCGCUGUCCCUGCUAGUGACAGGAAGCUCUUCUCACCCUGUUCGUGGGCCCGGCUGUGUCUCCUCCUCGCCUUCACCUGCCGUUGUGACCUGCAGUGCCCUCCCCAGCUUGAUCCCUACCUGGAACCCCUCGGUGUCCUGUCCCAGGCCACGCUGAAGGACAAUGGAAAGGCUGCACAAAUCUAAACCCACUGUCACCUCUGGGGCUCGUGCAUUCUGCCAACACCCCAUAGGAACCCGGAUCUCAGACGUCCCAGGUACGUCAGCCCCACCAGAAUUCUGUGCUCAUAGGACACGGUGAACGCUGAAUGUGGACAGGGCGGCAAGGACCCGGACACUUGGAU